CCGGCUUCUCCUGGUACCAGGAUGGUUCUUGGCAUCUAUGGAGUUUUCUUUUGUUACCGUAGCACCGUUCCUCGCUUCUUCUUCUUUUUCACAUUCUCCUUUUCUUAUUCCUAUCUCAUGCCAUCUUGUUCUUGAAAUCAAACCCCAUAUCGUCUCUCCUCUCCUCUGCUUGUCUUCUCUUCUUGAACGAUGGGCGAGGCAACUUUGGAAGGCCGUCUGUACCGUAGGCAACCAGUAUGCAGCCAUUGUUGGAUGGAGAGGUCGCAGGAGGAGAAAGGAAGGGGGAUGUUUCGGCUUUGGUCUCAUCCAUUCAAGAAUCUGAGAGAGCGUCUUUUUCUCUCUCUCUUCUUCUUCUUAGCUUUUCUUUCUCUUUGUUUCUUGAUUUUCUUCUUCAUUUUUUGUUCCCCGAAUUGGGAAAGUGGCAGCGGUUUAAGCUUUAUCUGAAGAGGCUGUAAUGAUUUCUUGACGAACGUUUUGCUGCAUUGUGAAGUAGAAGACGACUAUUUCUAACGGCAAGGCAAUCUUGGAUGGUCUGCUGCUGUUCUACGGGCAAUUUAGAUGCGGAGACUUGGUGACUAACAACACAAUACGAGAUUAAGUGACCAAAUUCUAUGUUGCUGCACCAAUCUGGUUCCGUAAGCUGGUUUCCCUGGCGUUGCUCUUCUAACGUUGCUAGCCGAGGAGUUGACCGGGAUUAAUGACAACUUUAAGUUGCUUCAUUUUUAGAGCCUCUUUUAUGCAAGAGUUUCACAGCUUAUAAAUUUUGCUGGAGACAGUAUUAAAUAAGGUACCUGGAUCAUGUUUCAUAUUGCUAUCAAGUGGUGUACAAGUGCUUCUCGAAGAAUUUCUAUACAACAUCUUCGAAUUUGAUAUGAACUCUGUCCAUUACAACUAUUCUUUGCUCUUAAAUAUCUUAGUAUUGCUUGUCUAGGGGACUUAUUCAUGAAAGCAGUUACUCACCAUACAUUUUUAUAUUCAUUUCAAGCAAAAAUAUAUUUUAUAUCCUUUUGAAAUUGAGGAUUUAUACUUAUACUUGUAUUUUUGCUAUAUAAUUUACAGAUUAGUUGGGAAAGAGUGGAAAUAAAAUGUAAACAUUGUAUUAUUUGUAAUUCGGAAGGUCAGUUGUUCUGCAGGCUACUACUGCAGCAUAUUGGAGACCGGACAAGAUUGCUGGUAGGCAGGAAAAAUGAGCCUUUUCUCUUAUUCAGCUCCACAUAAGAACACUUCUAUACUUUAACUCAAUCUCCUCUCCUUUGUCUUUUCUAACAAUGUUGGAGGAACUUUUACGGUCUGCUAGGGUUGUUUGGAUCUUUCAGAUGCAUGGAUGGGGUCUGUUAGAUGCAGGACUUGUCAGAGCCUCAAAAUCCUAUUUCACAGCUUUUUCCCUAAUCCAUGUUCAUUGGACAUGCCUAGUACUAUUAUUAUAUGUGGAAAAUAAGGUGCCUUCAAAGACUUUUGUUGAUUUUUAUUAUGAGGAUUCUGGAAGAACUUGGAUGGUUGCCUCUUCAGUGGUUAUCGUUGCAUGAAAAGAGAUGCAUGCACAUAUAAUUCUUCUUUCAUUUUUCUUAAUUCUAAUUAUUGAAAUUUUUUUGUGAAGCUUUGGUAAAUUCUUCCCAAUGGGCAAGACAAAUAUUUUUUUGGUUCUCUCUUAGCAAGUCUAUUGGAAAUGGCAAAGCAAGACUAUACUGCAAGACAUAUAAGGAGUCACAGCGCUACCGACAGCUGUCCCAUUUCUUAACCCGCUCAGUUCUCCGGUUCUCCUGAUAUCAGUGCAGUUCUUGGCGCCUAUGAAGAUUUUUUUAGUUCCUGUAGCACUCCUCCUUUCUUCUUCUUCUUCUUCUUGUUCACCUUCUCCUUGUCUUAUUCCUAUCCUGUGUAAACUUAUUUUUGAACCAAACAUAGCCUUUCUGCAGCUUAAAGUUGUCCUUGAAAUUAACCCCCAUCCCGUG